rnacentral:rRNA from 1 species
GACAGAGGGUGCAAACGUUGUUCGGAUUUACUGGGCGUAAAGCGCGUGUAGGCGGCUUGGCAAGUCGGAUGUGAAAGCCCACGGCUCAACCGUGGAAGCGCAUCCGAAACUGCUUCGCUCGAGUCUCGGAGAGGAAGGUGGAAUGCUUGGUGUAGAGGUGAAAUUCGUAGAUAUCAAGCAGAACACCUGCGGCGAAGGCGGCCUCUGGACGAUGACUGACGCUGAGACGCGAAAGCGUGGGGAGCAAACAGG